rnacentral:rRNA from 1 species
AUAAAAAAUAAAAAACAAACAUAAUUAUACUCAAACAAAAAAUCAAUUAAUAUUUAAUAUUUAAUAUAAAACCGAGAGGGAAAAUUAUUAAUAAAAAAUAAGAAAAAAGAAUGUACCUUUAGCAUAAGGGAGUAUCGAAAAAAAAUAAAAAUUUAUAUUUCCCGAAAUACUUUGAGCUAAAUACUUAAUUAAAUUAAUGUUUCAAUAUUAAAUUAAAUUAAAUUUUAGAAGUGAAAUUCCUGUCAAAAAGUAAGAUAUCUGGUUUUAUAAAAUAAUUAUAUGUAUUCCUAUGAAAUAAUCUUUAUUUUUAAAAGUAUAGGAAAAUAAUUUUGGGAUAAUCUAAAAUUAUUAGUUUAAAUUUGUUGAUUCAAUAAAUUUAAAGAAUAAAAUUUUCUUUAUUAUUUUCAUAAAUAAAUUUCUUUAUAAGAAAAAAUUAACUAAAAUUAUUUAUUGAAUUUAAUUUUAAAAUUUAAAUAAAAAUGAAGCUAUUAGUAAAAGAAUAUUUUUCUCCUCAAAAUAAUUUUUUGGAUAAUCAAUCUCAAUUUUUUUAAUUUAUAAGAAUUAGGCAAACAUGUUUUCUGACUGUUUAAUAAAAACAACGCAUUUAGAUUGUAAAUAAAUGCAAAUCCUGCUCAAUGAAAUUUUUAAAUUGCUGUAGUAUUUUGACUAUACAAAGGUAUUGAAAUAAGAUUUUAAUUGAAUGCUAAGAGAAUGGAACUUCAGAAAAAAACUUUUUUUAAAUUAAAAAUUGAAUUUUUUUUAAUUUGUGCAGAAACAAUUAUUAAUAUUAAGGACAAGAAGACCCUAUGAAUUUAUUAAAUUUAUUUUAAUGAAAAUUUUACAUUAAAUAAAUUUUGGCUGGGGCGGCAAGAAAAUAUUAAAAACUUUUCAGAAAAUAAAACGAUCCAUUAUUAAUGAUUAUAUGUUAAAUACUCUAGGGAUAACAGCGUUAUAUUUUUUGAUAGAUCAUAUUGACAAAAAAGUUUGCGACCUCGAUGUUGGAUUAGGAUACUUUUUUAAUGAAGAUGUUAAAAAAAGAAGUUUGUUCAACUUUUAAUUUCCUACAUGAUCUGAGUUUAGACCGAUGAGAAUCAGGUUGGAUUCUAUCUUAAUAAUAAAAUAAUUUUAAUUAGUACGAAAGGAAUUUUAAAAUAUAAUUAUUAGGAUAAACAACUUUAUUUGCAUCAAUUUUUGUAAUU